rnacentral:lncRNA from 1 species
UACAAAGCCUAGGAAGAUAAUUUGUUGCUGGUGCUGAUAGCAUCUGUUUAUUCUAAUGCACCAGUCAGUCUGUGCUCGCCUGCAAGGGGAGAAAAUGACCUUCAGUGGAAUCACAAACUGAACUCUGGAUCAGCAUCUCCCUCGGCAGCUGACUGCUGGGAAUCUGCAGUCCCUGUUUUCAGGAAGGCAGCAGCCAAACCAGUGCAGAGCAGGGCUGCCACCAGGGAGGCAGAAUGCAACCUAGAGCUUUUUCAAGAAGCCACAGGCAGUGGGCAGUGCUGGGGACAACCUACUCUCCCUUCUGGAGCUCCAACUGGAUCACGGGAACCAGGUUUUAAAGGCACUGUGCUGGCUGGGAUCUGCAUUCUGUCCCUGCUUCCACAAGGAAUAUGAGGAAGACUGAGCAGCACCAUCACAGCCUGUUUCUCUUCAGCAUAAGGGUGACCAGUGUCCCACCUUGCCUUGGAGGUCAAUGGAAGUUCACUUGUCGACUUCAUGCACAGGAUUUCAACCCGUGUCUGUGAUUAGUGGUGAAAUGAAAUUCACAGUUUGGAAUAAUUUAUCCAGCAUACCCAAUCAAACACAAACAUCCUUUGUGCUUGAAAAUGAAUCAGGGCUGGAGGCAGCUAGCCUGCUGCAGGGGUUUGUGAUAGAUUAAUGAGCUGAGAACAAGCUGCCACCUCCACCCCCAUCAUCAGUGACUUUCCAGUCUGAGGAGAGGGGCGCUGAGCUGGAGGUGAAGGAUAUACUCUCUGAUAAGUGUUGCAGUGGGAGGUGAGAAAUAAGAGCUUCAAGUGGAGGAGGAGGGGAGGAAAAAAGACUGUCCUCUGUUAAGCAGGGUACAGUUUAGACAGAGCAGCUGCCUGACAGGCUUGUGGCAGGAGGGGCAGGGCAGGAGCAGCCCUGUGCUUGCAGCACCUGUUAUUGAAUGCUACCUGCAGGUACCAGGGCAGCACAGACCGUGAUUCCCUGACUUCUGCCAGUCACGUGGGAAGGUCAGGGACCUGGGAGAGGAAAGGAGAUGAUGAAACACUGACAAGGUCUGCCCUCAGUGAGAUGCACUAACACCAAUGCAGAAGGGACCAUAUCCCAGAGGCUUCUUGGGCUUAAAGAUGAAAAUAAAAUCUGAAUUUGAUUAUCA